rnacentral:misc_RNA from 1 species
UUAAGUUCAGCGGGUAUCCCUACCUGAUCCGAGGUCAAACUUAAAAGAAGCUUAAUGGGAGGAGGCCUGCCAGAAUCGCGACGCAAUGUGCUGCGCACGAAGCCAACAUACCGGCUGCCAAUGAAUUUAAGGCGAGUCCACGCGCUGAGGCGGAACAAACACCCAACACCAAGCAGAGCUUGAAUGAUUAAAUGACGCUC